GAUGAACGCUGGCGGCGUGCCUAAUACAUGCAAGUCGAGCGAACAGACGAGGAGCUUGCUCCUCUGACGUUAGCGGCGGACGGGUGAGUAACACGUGGAUAACCUACCUAUAAGACUGGGAUAACUUCGGGAAACCGGAGCUAAUACCGGAUAAUAUAUUGAACCGCAUGGUUCAAUAGUGAAAGACGGUUUUGCUGUCACUUAUAGAUGUAUCCGCGCCGCAUUAGCUAGUUGGUAAGGUAACGGCUUACCAAGGCGACGAUGCGUAGCCGACCUGAGAGGGUGAUCGGCCACACUGGAACUGAGACACGGUCCAGACUCCUACGGGAGGCAGCAGUAGGGAAUCUUCCGCAAUGGGCGAAAGCCUGACGGAGCAAAGCCGCGUGAGUGAUGAAGGUCUUCGGAUCGUAAAACGCUGUUAUUAGGGAAGAACAAAUGUGUAAGUAACUAUGCACGUCUUGACGGUACCUAAUCAGAAAGCCACGGCUAACUACGUG
rnacentral:rRNA from 1 species